UUGGUUUUCUAACUUCUGUUUCAUGUUCAUCUUUUAGUGUUUGAUCUUGUUUUUGCGUUUUUUGGGGUUGAAGAUCUUGUCUGCUACUAUUGAUUCUGGUAGUUAUACCAGUUAUAAAACCUUUAAAAAUUGGAUGCUUGUCACGUAGAUGUGUCAAUUGUUUCCUAAUUUCUUUUUGCUGUUUUUAGUGUUCUUGUUUUUUCAAACUUGAGACGCUUGUGAGCCAACUCAUUCGAGGUAUUGUGGUUCUCUUCUUUGUUUUGUGCGUAAUCUAUGCAGAGAAAAUCACUAAUCAAUAGGAUGUUCAAAUCUCCUUAUCAUAUUUUAUUAGCAGGAUAUCUCGUUAUGAAUCUAUUACUACAAUUCAUGAGAACUUGCUGAACACGUGUUAUUUCAUCUUCUUCUUCUUGCCCAGCUGCUUUUGACCAGUGUAGCUUCUUGUUCUCUUCUGGAAUUCGAUUUCCGAAUGGUUAACUUUCUGGGUGCUUUGCUGGGUAUUAUCUUGAUUCUAUGUAAGUGGAGGUAUCUGAUGGCUGAAAACUUUUGAAAAAGAGAUCCAAUAUACUCUCAAUUUGCACUGGUGUGUCCAUAUUUUUCAUUGGUCCUAGACGGUUGUCUGGAAGAGAACUGUAAGGGCUUACGGUUUAUGGGUAGGAGUAGUACGGUACUACGAAGGCAUAAAGAUAAUAUUAGUUAGUGUAUUUGGUUAUAAAUAGAGGGAGGGGGAUUGAGGUAAGAGAGGCUAUUGUUGAGUGAUUUAGGGCUUGGGUUAGCAUACUAAAAAGAGGAGGAGGUCCUAAGUGCCUUAUACUUGGUUUAUCUUUUAGUUCUUAAUCCUUUACAUUUCAAUAUUUUCAGUUCUUGAUUUUUUUAGGUGGUAUCCUAACAUUUUCACUAGCACAUUCUGAGCUGCCAUCUGAGCCCGGCUUCUAGCCUAUGUGUGCAAGCACAGAACUGGAUACGGCUGCUGUACCCUACCUUCCAUCAGGUCAAAUGCACACCAUUGCCCAUCAUUAGGGGAGGGGAGGCAGGUUGUUUGCCUAUGACAAGUUUCUUGCAUAACUACUUGGGUGGCUAUCUGAAUUUCUGAAACCUCAAUCUUGAAAGGAACAUGAAUGAUGAAGAGACCUUGGAGUGGGUUGGGUACAAUGGCUCGACAAAGAUUAAGGUCUUUGUUUGGAAAUGUGUAUGAACAGGCCUUAGUACUUAAGACAAAGUUCAAGCAAGAAACUCUAAUCACUUCUCCCAUUAUUAUGUCCUUGUAAGACUGCAGAGGAGACUGGCAAUUACCUCUUAUUUUGAUGCCCUUUUCCUCCGUCUUUGGUUCCAGGUCUUAAGUAUCUUUGGCUUCAAUAUGAUUUCCAGUACUGAUGUUGUUAGGAUACCUCCUAAUAAGAACACUCACGAACUAACAAAGAACACUAAAACAUAGAAUUAUAUUACAAUGUCAAGAAGAAACUACAAUAUACAUUAGCACAUUAGAAUCCUCCAAAUUCCCCCAUUAGGAUUUGGAAUGCCUUGAAUUCGUUACGUGGAACUACGAACAACCUAGUAACUCUUUAGUUUUCAUAAUUGAGUCUAAUUACUUCUUUAUGAGUUAUUUAUGUUUGACCCAAGGUAAAGAGAAGUGCAAUAUAUAUACUCUCUAACCUAGUGGCGCCGUUUUGUAUUAUGAAAUAUUCUCUCGAUAAUAUUGUUCUCCCUUUGCUCCAUGGCAUAGCUAAUACAUUGUUAGUGAACCACGUAUAUCUGUUUGUCGAUCUUUAUACUUGUUUUAUAUUGCUUAAUUGUUGAUUUCGUAGCAUAGGAAAUCACCACAAAAUUCUUGGCACUUUGCUUCCAACCCAAACCCUCUAAUUAUAACAAACUUACUAACUAAUUAAUAUUUUGUCCCUUAUAAUAACCAUACUAAUAUUCUACUAAUAAUCCUAUUAUUCCCCUAACUAGGGGUCUUACAUGCUUAACUACUUUUUUUGUCUUUACUGUUGUGUAUGUCGUCCCAAAAAAUGAAGGCCAGACUCUCCUCACGAACAGGACUAUUUCAUUUUUAUGAGAAAAUGAUCCAAAUUGUUUUGCACAGGAGCUUAUGGUUUCCAGAGAACCUUUCUACUUGUAAAAUUAACUUUUUGUGACAUUAGUAUUUUAACUCUCUUAGGAGAUUAAGAGAGCGGGUGGACAGGUAGUGGCUAGGUUUAGCGUCUCCCUUUUGGACUCCCAUCAGUGUGCCUUUUUGUAAUUAUGAAAGUGGUCUUGGUUUUUUUGGAUUGAAGUUCUGUUUUCUAGUUUACUAUAGAAUAAUGCUCAAGUUUGUUUUUUGCA